GCUGAGGUGGCCUCCUUGAACCGUAGGAUCCAGCUGGUUGAAGAAGAGCUGGACCGUGCUCAGGAACGCCUGGCCACUGCCCUGCAAAAGCUGGAAGAAGCGGAAAAAGCUGCUGAUGAGAGUGAGAGAGGUAUGAAGGUUAUUGAAAACCGGGCCUUAAAAGAUGAAGAAAAGAUGGAACUCCAGGAAAUCCAGCUCAAAGAAGCUAAGCACAUUGCAGAAGAGGCAGAUAGGAAGUAUGAAGAGGUGGCUCGUAAGUUGGUGAUCAUUGAAGGAGACUUGGAACGCACAGAGGAACGAGCUGAGCUGGCAGAGUCCCGUUGCCGAGAGAUGGAUGAGCAGAUUAGACUGAUGGACCAGAACCUGAAGUGUCUGAGUGCUGCUGAAGAAAAGGUACUAACCAUUAAGCCCACAGCAAGGUUAUAUAUGUGGUGUGGUUUUGUUUUGUUUUGUUUUUGUUUUGCAGCUGCCUCCCCUCCACUUGAUUUUGUUGAGUGCUGUCUCAUCUCUUCAUGGAAUGCUCCAUUCUUUUCCACUUAC
rnacentral:sRNA from 1 species